rnacentral:rRNA from 1 species
CUAACACAUGCAAGUCGGACGAGAACGAUGUAGGGAUAUCUUUAGUAAAGGGCGCACGGGUGAGUAACACGUAAGUAACCUGCCUUAAGGUUUGGGAUCCCUCGACAUAUCGCACCUAAUACCGGAUGAUGCAGCGGAUCCGCAUGGAAUGUCGUAUAAAUCUAUAUGGUGCCUAUAGAUGGGCUGGGGUGCGAUUACUACUAGGGGAGGUAUUGGCUUACCAAGGCUACCAUCGGUAGCUGGUCUAGAGGAUCAUCUGCCCCGCGGGUAAGCGAGUAGCGGCUCCGGACUCCUAGGGGAGCCAGGAGCUGGGGAAUAUUGGGCCAAUGGCCCGCAAGGGGUGACGCAGGGAGGGCCUGGCUGGUCAGAUGAAUGCCGUAGCGGGUCGUUACGCCCUCGCAGAGUGGGACGAUCACCGUGUGGGCGGACGCCGGCGCUUUGGCGUGGGCGCCGCUGUAUAGAGGGGGCGGUGUAUGUUGG